rnacentral:tRNA from 1 species
GCCUGAAUAGCUCAGAUGGUAGAGCAGCGCAUUCGUAACGCGCAGGUCGUCAGUUCGAUUCUGGCUUCAGGCA